UAAAAAUUUUAUUUUAGUUUAAAAUUAUGAGUGGGUUUUAUAUGUAUGAGUGCCGGCUAUUUAAAAUUUAUGACAUUAACAUUUAAUUUUAUUAAGUUAAAGAAAUUUAAGCAUAGGAUCUCCUAAAUUAGCCAACUAAUUAAAGUGCCAGCAGUUGCGGUUAUACUUGAAGCUAGGUAAUUUAACUCUACGUUAAUUUAAUUUUAAAAAUUACAAAAAAAGAUAUUUUAUAAGUGAAAUUUAUAGAUAAAGGUAAUAAGUAAUAUAAUUCAAAUUAAUUGGGCUAAUUAAAACUAGGAUUAGAUACCCUACUAUAAACUUAGUUUUUAAAUAAAGUAGUAAAAGUUUAAUUCUUCAAACUUAAAAAAUGUGGCGGUAUUUUAAGCUAACUAGAGGAACCUGUUUAAUAAUUGAUAGUCCACAACCCAUACUACAUUAAUUUUUAAUUUAUAUAUCGCUGUUCAAUGCAAGCCAGCUGGCUAUGCAUAAAAUUAAACUUAUUCACCAAAUCAAGUCAACACAUAAUUCAAUUAGUGUUCAAAUGGGUUACAUUUAUUUGCAAUUAUUUUAAGAUUAAUUAAAAUAAUUAGAUGAUCGAAUUUAGAAUUAAAUUUUACCAAGGCUCUAAAUUGAAUGAGUAAUAAAAUAUGUACAAAUUGCCCGUCACUCUUAAACUAAUUAAGAUAAGUCGUAACAAAGUAAGUUUACUGGAAAGUAAAUUUAGAAA
rnacentral:rRNA from 1 species